UACGGAGGAGGCAAGCGUUAUCCGGAAUUAUUGGGCGUAAAGCGUCCGUAGGUGGUUUUACAAGUCAGCUGUUAAAGCGUGAGGCUUAACCUCAUACAGGCGGUUGAAACUGUAGGACUAGAGUUUGGUAGGGGUUGCGGGAAUUCCCAGUGUAGCGGUGAAAUGCGUAGAUAUCUGAAGGAACAUCAGUGGCGAAAGCGACUUCCUGGACCAAUACUGACGCUCAUGUGCGAAAGCGUGGGGAGCAAACAGG
rnacentral:rRNA from 1 species